rfam:Virgibacillus soli strain PL205 scaffold000007, whole genome shotgun sequence.
AGCAAAGGAUGAACGACUAAAGGCGUGCCGUCCUGGCGCAACGUCGUUCUGACCUACAUCCUGUAGG